GGGCGAUUAGCUCAGCGGUAGAGCACUGCCUUCACACGGCAGGGGUCAGUGGUUCAAACCCACUAUCGCCCACCA
rnacentral:tRNA from 1 species